UAAAGUUAUAGUGUUAAUAAUAGUUUGUAACUAGAUUGCUUUUCUAUAGAUACUAUAUUGUAAGCCAUCUCAAAAGUCAAUAAAAUAUUUAAAACAUUACUUCUAGAGCCUGCCCUCCAUCCUAGUUUAUGGAACACUUCCCUACCACCAUCCAGUUCUGUUGUUUUUAUUAUUAACCCCAUUUAUAAUAAUCUACUUGAAUUUUGUUUGAAUCUUGUUUUAUUUCCUUUGGACUUUUCAGAUGAAAUCUCUGGUGCUCAAUAAAUGCAAAUAACAGGGUAACACAUGUGUCAAAGGAGGGUGCUUUAAUAAAUUAUUGUAAAUUUAGGGAGAAUUAAUUCACCCAUCUUCCAAAGAAAGGCAGUGUUUUUCAGUAACUGAUUUUGCUGGAAAAAACCUGAAGACAACAAAAGAAAUUAAAAUUAAACUAAACUAAAACUAAAAUCAUUUCCAAUUAUGUUGAUGGCUGUAGCUACAAUAAUGUUGUAGUUACCAUGUGUUUGGUACGUGGUUUGAUAAAAAGAUUUCUGGUACUUUUUAUCUAAGGAUCUUAAUAUGUUUUAUAGGUUUUCUUCUCAUAGUGGAUCUACUGGAGUUUAUACUGUCCUGAUUCUUCAGAACAAGAGGAAUAGACACAACCAGAAGUCACAUCCGGGAAGUACGAUGUUUAAUUUCAUGUGUCGAAUUUACUGAACGAUGAGGUGCCCGGGUACUUGGGCAAGCUUUAUUCUGGGUAUUUCUGAGAGUGUUUUGGGGUGAAAUUGCCAUUUAAAUCUGUAACUGGGAAAGGAAAUUGCCUCCCUCACGUGGGAGGGCCUCCUCCUAGCAGCCGCGGGCCUGGCUAGCACAACGCCUGCCCAUCCCAGAGGAAGAGGGAAUUCUCCGGCCCGAUGGACUCUGGACCAGGAUGUGGACUCUUGCUGCUGUUGAGACUUGCACUGGGAAUCAGCUCUGCACAUUUCAGACUGCCUAACCCUCCAUGACGGUGCCCAGAGCAAUUGUUCUAUUCUUACUUUGAGAUCAGCUUCAGCUCCUGGAGACUCUUUCGAGGAGGUCACUAUCAAUCACGCUGGUUACUCUUCACACUUAGAGCAGCACCCCACCUCUGAGAAGGCUUGCAAGGCCCCCAGGAUCUGCCCACGGCCAUCUCCCUCACUGCACUCACACGAGGCUCUGCUUACCUGCCUUCCGCUGCCACGGCUUCCUGCCUCUUCUUCAGUGGAUCAAGCGCGUUCCCGCCUUGGUGCUUGCGGGCUCCCCCGAGGGCCUUUCCUCAGCUGGUAGCCGGCUCAGUCUGUCUUCCUCGGAGUCUCAGUGAGUGCCAUCCUCUUAGAAAGCCCUAGAAAGCAGCUUCCCUCCUGUACACAGAACUCCGUUUUGGUUUUCCUGCAGCCCUUGCUGCCGCGAUCAAGACCUGUGGUUGCUUGCUUGUUGUCUGUUUCUCUCCAUGGAAUGUCAGCUCCAUGGCACCAAGGUCCUUGGCAGGGAGCUGGAAGUUAAAAUGGGUCAUGCUGGAGCGACCAAAAGAAGGAUGGCGAGAAGUGGAAAUAAAGAGGCAAAUAAAGCCGUGGAGGUCACACCAGGAAGGAAGCCUGGCAGCUUUCCCGGCGGUGAAGAUGGUCAACCGAGGGUGCGCGACGGGACGUUCUGGACCCGCAGUGUGUGGUAACUUGGGAGAGUCCUGCGCUGGACCUGACUAAGGAAAACAAGGCUGACAGAGGAAGGGACGGGAAGCCGCUGCCUCUUGCCAGGCCUCCCAAGGCUGACGACUUUCACGUUUACAGGGAUGCAUCCUCCGACAGGGGUGGUGGGGAAGUGAGCUGUAAUUUCUGCAGCCGCUGGUAAGACCCCUGCGUCGGGUACUGUCUUUCCACGCCUUUCAAACAGAAAUCUGUAAUCAUUUUUUAAAAAUUAAACUUUUUUGGCAAACAAAUAAUAUAUUCAAAAAAGUGCAUACCAUCAAGCC